AGCUUUGCGCAGUGGCAUUAUCGUAACCAAUGAGGUUUAUCCGAGGUGCGAUUAUUGCUAGUUGAAACAAUAACUAAACAAUCUGGCUUUGGAGAAAGAUUUAGUACAGUUACCACCCUUUUGAACAUCAUAGACAACAUAAUAAGG